UCCCUAAGGGCCUGAUCCAAUGUCCAUUGAAGUCAAUGGGAGUCUUUCUGUUGCCUUUAAUGGGCAUUGGCUCAAGCUCUAGAAGA
rnacentral:pre_miRNA from 1 species